UCUUACUUUUAUAUCAUUGAAUGUUGAAAUCCUUCUUUAUUGUUGAGUAUUUAGAAUUCUAUUUUUGUUGAAAUCCACAAACUUUGUACAUUAAGAAUUUAUUUUACAUUUCUUGUAUUCAAAUCUGAUAUGUCUGAGCAUUUUAUGAAAUCCAAAUACAUGUACAUUGAAAUAUUUCAAACAUCUCAACUUUUUCAAUUUUUUUGUACGUUAAAUAUGCAAAAAAAAUAAUAAUACAGAUUUUAUACUUUCUUUUUUUUUUAAACUUUUAUUUUGUUUUGAGCUCUCUUCAGCUGCAAAAUAAGAAAUUAUUUAAUAUCAUGAUCAUUUUCAUAUCCUUGCCUUAAAAGUGUCACUUAUUUUUGUUGUCACUUAAUUUGCAAGAAAUAUCAGAACUGUUGACCUUUGAAAAGUUUAUUGGUUGAAUUUUUCUUUAAAUUUUGUUAAUUUUUGUUCUUGAAUCUUUGUAUAGAUAAACUCUUGAUCUCAGG
rnacentral:misc_RNA from 1 species